rnacentral:rRNA from 1 species
UACGUAGGGUGCAAGCGUUGUCCGGAAUUAUUGGGCGUAAAGAGCGUGUAGGCGGCCUCGUAAGUCCGCUGUGAAAGUCCAGGGCUCAACCCUGGAAAGCCGGUGGAUACUGCGAGGCUAGAGUCCGGAAGGGGCGAGUGGAAUUCCUGGUGUAGCGGUGAAAUGCGCAGAUAUCAGGAGGAACACCAAUGGCGAAGGCAGCUCGCUGGGACGGUACUGACGCUGAGGCACGAAAGCGUGGGGAGCGAACAGG